CAAAUUUAAAAUCUACCUGGUUUYCAGGUCGAGUUGUAAUUUGAAGAUACGUUUUUGACGUUCCGGGUUGAACUAAAUCCUUUGGGAUAAGGUAUCAUGGAGGGUGAGAAUCCCGUAUAUACCAACCRUAGGGAUGUUAUUUAAUACSUUUCUAAGAGUCGAGUUGUUUGGGAAUGCAGCUCUAAAUGGGUGGUAAAUUUCACCUAAUGCUAAAUAUAAGCGAGAGACCGAUAGYGAACAAGUACAGUGAUGGAAAGAUGAAAAGAACUUUGAAAAGAGAGUUAAAUAGUAYGUGAAAUUGUUGAAAGGGAAACGAUUGAAGUCAGUCAUGCCRGUGGGAAUCMACUUWGAGGAAACUCUGAGUGCACUUYUUCSCUUGGCAGGUCAACGUYGAUUUUGGAUGUCAUAAAAWGAUUGGGGGAAGGKAGCYCYYUYGGGAGUGUUAUAGCCCUUGGUAGAUGUGAUGUCUGGGAUCGAGGAUUGCAAUGGAUACCCUUUGGGGCUAGCCGCCUGAUCUCUAAUYGGUAUUGGGUUACGGAUAGCAUGCUGACCGUGAUCUAAUUAUUGGUUAAAAGGUUA
rnacentral:rRNA from 1 species